rnacentral:lncRNA from 1 species
CAUUCAUCUACCACAGUCAAAAAGACAGGAGAGUGGCAUGUACAGAUGACAAGGAACUCUGGUUAUGCUUUAAAAGCAUUUAUCUGGGUUUCCUGGGAUUGUGGAAAGGUUUACAGGUAGGAAGAGUAUGAGCAUCUUCCAUUUUAACUUUGCAAGAAGGGACAGACACACAUAGUCACCACCUAACACAGAAGAACUACAGGGCAGGGAAAUUGACCCCUGUAAGGGAAUUGACAUGAUCCAAGGACCUUGAACAGAGCCUGGUACACAACAGCCAGUUCACUAGUACCCCAUUGACAGCAUACAGACACCCCUAGGUCGGCAAUGAGAAACACAAGAUCUGCACAAGAAAGGUUUAUUGAUUCCUACUACAAAGGACCUACCCACCAAGUUAGAAAGGCCAUGUCUAGCUGAAGAGCUAAUAAUGAAGAUGCUGAG